rnacentral:rRNA from 1 species
AUUGAACGCUGGCGGCAGUCCUAACACAUUCCAGUCGAACGAGUGGCGGACUGGUGAGUAAUGUCUGGGAAACUGCCUGAUGGAGGGGGCUAACUACUGGAAACGGUAGCUAAUACCGCAUACCAUCAGAUGUGCCCAGAUUGGAUAGGCUUGUUGGUGGGGUAACGGCUCACCACGGCGACGAGCCCUAGCUGGUCUGAGAGGAUGACCAGCCACAAUGGAACUGAGACACGGUCCAGACUCCUACGUGAGGCAGAAGUGGGGAAUAUGGCACAAUGGGCGCAAGCCUGAGGCAGCCAUGCCGCGUGUAUGAAGAAGGCCUUCGGGUUGUAAAGUACUUUCAGCGGGGAGGCGUUACCCGCAGAAGAAGCACCGGCUAACUCCGUGCCAGCAGCCGCGGUAAUAC